UUAAUCACUUCCCAAAGGCUUUAGCUCCAAAUACCAUCACAUAGGGGAUUAGAUUUCAAUGCUGGAAUUUGAGGCGGGACAAAAGCAUUGUCUGUAGCAGAGAGAUGCCCAAUUUUAGAAGCUUUGCAGGGGCUAGGUGGGGGAGAUUACCUGCUAAACGGAGGGCAGGUAGAAUAUGGCUGAAAGGCAAAGGUGUCUAUAGCACCUGUGAAGCAAGAUCAAAAGAAUACGGGAAAGACACUGAUCUCUGAAAAAGUCAAACAAAGAGACCAUGGGUUCAACACUUGAGACUUCAAUAGCAGAUGCCAACAAGCCAUACCAAAGCCUGAAGAAGUCACUAAUGUGAAAGCCAAAGGACAAAGAGGAAAGUAGGUGAUCCUUCAUGUGUGCAUCUCAGAUCUGAGGAGCUAUAAAAGAGACAUCAUACCAGACUCUACUCCAGAAUGGAAAUGUCCAAUGCCUAAUCAGAAGCCAGGGAGUAGGGUGAAUGCGAUAGAUAAGAGAUCAUCAUCCCAACCUGCAGCCCUCAUUACUGCUCGUUCUAUGGAGUAGUCAUUUUUUGUUUUUGUUGUUUCUUUACUUCUCUAAGAAACUUGCUUUUGCUUAAAAAAAAAUAAAAAUAAAGGAGAUAAGAGAACAUCCAAUAAAAGAAGGCAAAUGUUGUGUGCAUAGAGAUUACUAGGUUAAGGAAAGCAGGCCAACUAGCAUUAAACCAACCCAUACCUUUGUUCAACACUUAGAAUGAAAUCUAAAUUUAUUUCUCUGGCGUUGAAUAAGCCUAUGACAUCAACCUGAACUACUCUUCUGCUCACAGCAUUCCAGACACAUUGACUAUUUCAUGCAUCUUUGUCCUUAUUGCUAUACCUGGAAUUCUAUCCCCCACCUUCCCCACAUAAAGAACACCUUUCUAUUACUUCUUCUAUUAGUCAUUUUUAAACAAAACUCAAUAUUU
rnacentral:lncRNA from 1 species